UACGGGGGGGGCAAGCGUUGUUCGGAAUUACUGGGCGUAAAGGGCUCGUAGGCGGCCAACUAAGUCGGAUGUGAAAUCCCCAGGCUUAACCUGGGAACUGCGUGUGAUACUGGAUGGCUUGAAUCCGGGAGAGGGAUGCGGAAUUCCAGGUGUAGCGGUGAAAUGCGUAGAUAUCUGGAGGAAUACCGGUGGCGAAGGCGGCAUCCUGGACCGAGAUUGACACUGAGUGAGCGAAAGCCAGGGGAGCAAACGGG
rnacentral:rRNA from 1 species